rnacentral:rRNA from 1 species
AUUGAACGCUGGCGGCAGGCCUAACACAUGCAAGUCGAGCGAGCGGCGGACGGGUGAGUAAUGUAUGGGGACUGCCCGAUAGAGGGGGGUAACUACAGGAAACGGUGGAGAAUACCGCAUACUGUAGGAUAACCCAUAUGGGAUUAGCUAGUAGGUAAGGUAAUGGCGUACCUAGGCGACGAUCCCUAGCUGGUCUGAGAGGAUGAUCAGCCACACUGGGACUGAGACACGGCCCAGACUCCUACGGAGGCAGCAGUGGGGAAUAUUGCACAAUGGGCGCAAGCCUGAUGCAGCCAUGCCGCGUGUAUGAAGAAGGCCCUAGGGUUGUAAAGUACUUUCAGUCGGGAGGCGUUACCGACAGAAGAAGCACCGGCUAACUCCGUGCCAGCAGCCGCGGUAAUUC